UCGUCUUGAACAUGGAGGAAAGCUGCUGUCACACGAGAAAAAACCAAAACGGCAAAACCCCACUCUCUCUUUCACCAUUGCAUCUAAAAAAGAGCAGAGAACAACAACAAUUCAUGGCUGCUUUACCAUUCUCUGCGGCUCAAUUGAAAUUUAGUUUCAGGUUCCACAUGUGUUUCAGGCUUCAACUGCAGAGCCAGCCUUUCAAAUCUAUUCAUUUCUAGAACCCCACGAUUUUUCAAUCGUUCAAGAAGUAGAAACUUGUCUUUCAAAAACAUUGCUAGAGGCGAAAGGCAAGAAUUGAAAGAUCCCACAGUCAAUGGAGAAGCUUCUUUAGAUACCUUUGAACCUGAUUCAGCAUCUAUUGCAGCCAACAUUAAAUACCAUGCAGAAUUCACACCAUCAUUCUCUCCAGAACUGCAGAGAGCGUUCGCGAUUCGCUACUCAUAAAUUGGAAUGCCACAUAUGAGUACUAUGAGAAGGUGAAUUCAAAGCAGGCAUAUUAUCUGUCUAUGGAGUGCCUACAGGUUCAGUGCUGUUGGUUUUCUGGUGGCCACAACUAUUGAAAACCAAUGCUGCUGUGCUAGUUUGGUUUUUACUUGCAGUGCUGAUGAUUUGUUAUGUACUGUGUUCUUUAUUUUGCAGGGUAGAGCGUUGCUAAAUGCUAUUGGAAACUGCUUACUGAUGCUUUGAGAAAGUUGGAGGAUGUAGCCGCCGGACAAGUCGAACAAAGCUGGAAAUUCUAUCAGACACUACCAACAAUGAAUUAUCCUGCAUUGGGGGUAUGGACUCAGGUCCAACUAUGGCUUGUUCAAACAGCUCAUCACAAAAUAUGGCAAGUUGUAUGUGUGCUUCUGUCCAGAUAUUUUCACAGCACCUCAGUACAUAUUUGUACUGGUUAGGAACGGUUUAUUAUUGUCAUUAUUAAUAUUUCUAAUGCCAAAGCUGAUGGUUCCAAUUGAUGAUUUGUUGUGAUCAGAUUUGCUACAUAUUGGACCCCGGGGAUGAAUCUGUAGAGGGUAAGACACUAGGGUUGAAGCAACAAUAUACGCUAUGCUCUGCAUCUCUCCAAGACAUAAUUGCUCACUUUGAAAGGAGAUCAGGGAAGCCUGUGAAAUGGGAAAAUUUUGCAGUGCAAAUGAAUGACACUCGUCCAACACUUUGCAUCCCGGAGCUGAUAAGAAUUUUGAUGGAUUGGAAGGGUUUGAGCUGGAAGGAAGCAUGAGCUAUUACUCGGAGGCACUUCCCAGCAUGGGUUUUGCACUUAUGUGGCUACCAGUUGUGCAGUAACUAAACUAUGCUUGUUUCACAAUAACUAUUGUAUGCACAAAUCACACAGUUCUACCUGAGGCUCUGGAGAAAUGGAGUUUAGACCUUUUCAGGAACUGCUGCCUCGGCAUGUUGAGAUCACUAGGAUGAUUGAUGAAGAGGUAAUAUUAGAAAGACAUGGUGAUUUUGUCUCAGAUCAAUUUUUUUCUUCUGUUAUGUUUUCAUAUCUUCCAUGUGUUAUCCAGCUGAUUCAUGCCAUAGUUGUGGAGUCUGGCGCUGAGGAUCUCAACUUGAUCUCAACUUGUUGCGGCAAAAGCUAAAGCAAAUGAGAAUUUUUUAUAACAUCGGGUUGCCUGAGUCAGUUCUAGAAUUGUUAGUUAAACUAGAAAGUUCUGUUGUUGACUCCAUAGAGGAAGUUGAAGUCUCAGAUGAAGAAACUGAAUCUACUGAUGAAGAACAGUCUGAACAAUAGGAAAUUGAUGAGACAAAUGAGGCGACAUUUGAACCAUAUCCAAAACUGCCAAAGAUGGUCCAGGUGGCUAAUCUAUGUCUUCAGUAAAUGGAGCUGCUGAGAUUCACAGUGAAAUAGUAAAAAUUGAAGUAUUUAAUGAGUUCUAUAAGGAAACAGAAAUUGCAUGCCUCUCUUCCUCAUAUCACUUUCUCAUGAAAUUGAAGCGCUGCUAUUUUUUCUAGGACUACUGUGCAUUGAAUGUUCUUCAUGACAAAAGUAAUUCCAGUAUCCAUAACUUUUUGACAGUUGUGUCGUGAGAAUUUUCAGAAUAAAACAAAUGGGGCGACACCAAGAAGAUGGAUUCGUUUUGCAAUCCAGAACUAAGUAAAAUCAUAACCAAGUACUAUAACAGAUGACUGGGUCAUAAACACUUGGAAACUGUCGACCCAUGGAAAGGUAAAUUGCUAUUUGCUACGUUACAGCCUACAGGUUGCAGUGUGCUCAACUUAGAUAUCUGGUGACAUUCAAAUUGGGAUUUCACUUGAAUGCAUUUUCACAAGCGCAUGUUUUAAAUGUCCCAAUCUUGCAUGACACGAGGCAUUCCAUCUACAUUUUGGGACCACUAAAUUUGACCUCAUCAGUUUCGCACUAUCAUAUUUUGACAGACAAGUGUGAGUUUUUGCAGUUUUCUUAUUACGAGGACCUUCAAUCUGAGUGGAUGGAAGCAAAAAGAAGAAACAAGAUCAAGGUUACGGCCUUUCUUUAAGAAAAGACUGGAUAUAUUGUCAAUCCUGAUGCAAUGUUUGAUGUACAGGUUAUUUCCUGCCUGUCAUUUCCGAGAUCUGUCUCUGCCUUAUCUGAUUAUACAACUCUGGAGGAAGCAGUUUUUGGUCCUUUUGUACAUGGUUCUUGUUUUCUGGUUUCUGGCACUAAAAAGUUCUGAGUAAAACGUUGGCACUUGUGUUGAAAGGUUGGGAAUGAUGACGAUUAAUGGUGAUAACAGGCAGUGUCUUGAGUUU